AUUGAACGCUGGCGGCAGGCUUAACACAUGCAAGUCGAGCGAGCGGCGGACGGGUGAGUAAUGUCUGGGAAACUGCCUGGCGGAGGGGGAUUACUACAGGAAACGGUAGCUAAUACCUAAUAAUCUCUGAUGUGUCCAGCUGGGAUUAGUUAGUUGGUGGGGUAAUGGCUCACCAAGGAGACGAUCCCUACCUGGACUGAGAGGAUGACCGGCCACACUGGAACUGAGACACGGUCCAGACUCCUACGGGAGGCAGCAGUGGGGAAGAGUGGGCAAUGGACGCAAGCCUGAUGCAGCCAGGCCGCGUGAGUGAAGAAGGCCUUCGGAUUGUAAAGCACUGUCAGCGGAGAGGCGUGAAUCGCAGAAGAAACACCGGCUAACUCCGUGCCAACAGCCGGGGGUAUUC
rnacentral:rRNA from 1 species